CAGGCAUUAGGAAGAUGCGACGUGAUUGGAGGGAGGGAGGAAAAGCAACGCUCUUGCACAGCUCGGUAUUCAGCCGAGGACUUUCUAAAGUGUAGAGGGGGGCACCGGGGUCACGAGGUGUGUGUUGUGUGGGUGUGUGUGUGUGUGUGUGUAAGAGAGAUGGCAGCAUCACCAGUCCUCCAGGGCUCAGCAGGCUAAUUAAUAAUGAAUCCCAGAGAGUCUGUGUUUGAAAUGCAGAUGUGCAACUGCCAGCUCCGCCUGCUCCUUCAGAGGGACCUGUCGGUUCGUGUGUGUGCGUGUGCGUGCGUGUGUGGGUGUGUGGGUGGGUUUGUCUGCUCCACAGGGGGAAAGUAUGUCAGCUGGUUGUUUAGCAGUGGCAGAGAACUUGCUCACAUCCUGCACGAAACUCGCGGGGCCAUUCAUUAAACAUCGACCACACUUUUGACUUUUGAACGAGAUUUCUCCAGGAGGAAAGCCGAUUUCAUGUGGGAAGUUUUUGCAACAACUUUGGCCUCUUUUUUCUUCUUCUUCUUCAUUUGGCUCCGAGGUGCCACCGGAGGCCUCGGCGACGAGCCUCUUCUCAAACUCGGCAGAGGAGGAGGUGUGUGUGUGUGGGAGGGGGGGGGGGGGGGGGGGGGGGGGGGGUGGAGGUGCUGAAGAGCUCACGUCAUGUUUCUCUACGUUUCCCCCCCUCCCCCUCUUCAGUGAUCUCUGUGCAGGAUGCUCUGGGUUUAUGUGAGCGGUUUGAAAUUUAACAGAUGGUAAACUUUUAUGUCCUUUUUUUUGUUGUUGUUAAAACCAACAUGGCUCCUUUCUGUGACCCUGUAACAGCACCAGCCUCUGCUGCCGGCAGCACCUGUAACACAGUGAAACACACCCACACACACACGCACACACACACCCCCACACACCCACACACACACACACACCAGCAGUGAAUAUCCCUCGAAUCUCAGGCGUUUCAGUUCCUCACAGAUUAAAACAACCUCACUUUCCCAACAUUUGGUUUUGUUCUCUGAGUGUCAAACCUGGACAGACUCUGCGGAGACCCCAGUAACUUUUCCUCUUACAACAUUUAAAACCCCAAAAUAAUUUGAUGCUGGAAUUUGCAUUACAACUGGAAUGCUACGUUGCCUUACAUUCAAGCUUUAAGGUGCUUUUCAACUCAAUCCCAGACUGUUUUAAUAACUAAUCUGGCAGCAUCACUUGAAAGUAGGAUCUUAAUUUGACUGAGUGUCUAAACUUUAUCUGUGGAGCUGUUUUAUUUUUUUAUGCUGCUUGAUAAAAUGGCUGAUGUCCCUCAGGUCAAGCUAAUAAAAAAUCAGCAAGCUUUAUGGUGUAAAUCAUGAGAACUUUUUUAUUGUUAUUAUUGUAUUGUAACUUUAGGUAAUUUGCCUUUUGGGUUAUGAAGAAUUUAAAACUUUUGUUUUUAAUUGUAAUUUUAAAAGUGGACAAAAUGUUCAGGCAGACAUUUCUCCUCGUUUGGAAGAUGUUGGGCAAACAUCACAUUUAUUAAAGAUUAUUUUCCUGUG